CAAAGCGAACCAUUAACUUGAUAUAUAUGGUAAUGGAACUAUUAUUAGAAAAAGAAAUUAGCAGCAACACACUCAUUUUCCUCUUGUUACAAAUGAGAGUACAGACCAAAGGAACAAAAGAGAGAAGAAAAGAAAAUUAAGGCAACUGCAAGGGAAACAAACACAUACCACAAGAGGAUCACUUUUAUUUUUUCAUCUUAUUCAUGAUACAACAAGAUCGAUCACUUGCACUCAUAAAUUCUAUUUCUUACCAAGUUCAGCUCUCCAUUUGAUCCGAAAAGCCCUAGAAAGCUUAACAACCCUGUCAGUCUCAGGUAUAAUCCCCUUGACAGCAGGGUCAGCAACAAACCUUUCAGCCCAUUUAACCAAAGCUGGAGCCUUUGAUUCAACCAGAACUUUCCUUUGAUACUCUUGUUCUAUGGCACUGAGCCACCCCAGGAAGCUCCCAAAAGCAAUAUCAAGGUACCCAAUUUUAUCUCCACCGAAAAAGGCCUUUCCUUUACUGCAUUUGACAAAAGCAUCCUCCAUAUUUUCAAGCACUGUAUCCAAUAUAUCAUAAUAUGGCUUCCUUUCUUCCUCAUCAACAGUUACAAUGGUUUCUAUCGUAGGAAACCACUAGAGCAUGUUUCAAAACCAAAAUCAAUUCUUUAGGAUCAAUUCUACUUUGUCAAAAUCAAUUCUACGCGUGUACCAGUAAAUUAGAAUCAAUUCUACAAAAUCAAGUCUACUUGUCGGAACAAAUAAUACUUGUUUAUGCGUUAAACAUAAUCAAUUCUAAUAUUUGACAAGUGAAUUUCAUAACAUACCAUAGAAACCUCAACUUUUCCAUAAAGAUACUCAAACAUAAAUCAAAUCAUUUUAACGCAUGUUUAGCGUACCUAAUGUAGCAGAAUCAAUUGUGUCCAGAAUGAACACUGCUAACGCUAAUUUAAACAAUAAAUUCUCAUCUCAUUUUCGAUGUCAAUGAACUUCAAACGGAAAUCAAUCUUCAAAUUAAAAUUUAGUUUCUAAAUUAAGUAAAAUAAUUUGACAAGUGAAUUUCAUAAACCAUAGAAACCUCAACUUUUCCAUAAAGGUAAUCAAACAUAAAUCAAAUCAUUUUAACUCAAAUCAAUCUUCAAAUUAAAAUUUAGUUUAUAAAUUCAGUAAAAUAAAUUGAUGCUAAAUUAAUACAAAGAAAAUAAGAAGUUACCUUAUCAUCUAUGUAAGCAACCCAAAACCUAGCAAGUGCUCGAUCAUAAGCAUCAGAGGGGAGAAUAGAAGGGGUAGUGGACCAAGUUUCAUCUAUGUAUUGAACUAUAAGCAUAGACUCACAGAUGGGUUUACCAUGGUGGAUGAGAACAGGGACUUUGGCAUAAACAGGGUUGGAUUGAAGAAGAAGGUCGCUUUUGGGGGAGAAUGUUUCGUGCUCUUCAAGGUUUUCAUAUUCAAGGGAUUUGAUUCUGAGGGCAAUCUUCACCCUAAUCACAUAAGGACUCGACCAUUUACCAAGAAGCUUCAGCUCACUGUUUGCCAUUGUCGAUCACCACUGUAUUUGAUAAAAUUAAGGUAUACGACUUUUUAUCAGCAACAAAAAAGUUCAUUGCUUAAAACAAGUAAACUCUCAUCAUCAAUUAUGCAACAGUCAAGAAUAAUUUCCGAAAAUGGAAAUUAGUCAAAUUAUUACCAAAUGAAGAGAAACGGCAACACGAUCCCGAGAACCAGGACCACCGUCCGGAAAGAAAUCCGGCGACCGGAACAGCAGGCGGAAGGAGGCGCGGCCGUCGUAUUAACUGAUCCUUUACCGGAGACUCUCUUGAUUUCCUUAGCCAUGAAGGGAAUUUAUAUAGUGGGUGAAACGCGUGUUUGCCAUUUUACCACUGGGUUUUCAAGUUAUUUACGGUUUUGACACUGAUUAUUUUUCUCGUCUUGCCGACACUAGAAGUGGAAGUCCACGUUUGCCAUCUUAGAAUGGCAAAUUUGGCAUUUCCAAAGCAAUUAAACACAUUAGUUAAUUAAAUCCAAACACACUUAUGUGACCUGGCUUCAGCAUCUCUAUCCAUAAUAUUUACUACAACUUCUACACUAAGUUUUAAAUCAUUCUUUAUAAUUUCGUAUAAAAUGUAAUUGAUAUGUAUUAACUAAUCACGGCAUGUCACGUAAAAACAUGUCACGUAAAAAGAAUAAAAAUAAAUAUUAUUUUAUAUUAUGACGGAAUUCAAUUGAAUGACUGUGUAAAUAAAGUUUACACUAACAGUGCACACAACUUUAACCUUUUUUUUAUAAUGUCCCUCAAUUCUAAAAAAGUUUCAAUAAAACUGACUGCUUGUUAUUAUGAAUUUUCUCGUCAAAAUACAGGAAUGCCCUUCUCUUCAACCUUUGUCCUUU
rnacentral:lncRNA from 1 species